GGUGGCGAGUGGCGAACGGGUGAGUAAUAUAUCGGAACGUACCCUAGAGUGGGGGAUAACGUAGCGAAAGUUACGCUAAUACCGCAUACGAUCUAAGGAUGAAAGUGGGGGAUCGCAAGACCUCAUGCUCGUGGAGCGGCCGAUAUCUGAUUAGCUAGUUGGUAGGGUAAAAGCCUACCAAGGCAUCGAUCAGUAGCUGGUCUGAGAGGACGACCAGCCACACUGGAACUGAGACACGGUCCAGACUCCUACGGGAGGCAGCAGUGGGGAAUUUUGGACAAUGGGCGAAAGCCUGAUCCAGCAAUGCCGCGUGAGUGAAGAAGGCCUUCGGGUUGUAAAGCUCUUUUGUCAGGGAAGAAACGGUGAGAGCUAAUAUCUCUUGCUAAUGACGGUACCUGAAGAAUAAGCACCGGCUAACUACGUGCCAGCAGCCGCGGUAAUACGUAGGGUGCAAGCGUUAAUCGGAAUUACUGGGCGUAAAGCGUGCGCAGGCGGUUUUGUAAGUCUGAUGUGAAAUCCCCGGGCUCAACCUGGGAAUUGCAUUGGAGACUGCAAGGCUAGAAUCUGGCAGAGGGGGGUAGAAUUCCACGUGUAGCAGUGAAAUGCGUAGAUAUGUGGAGGAACACCGAUGGCGAAGGCAGCCCCCUGGGUCAAGAUUGACGCUCAUGCACGAAAGCGUGGGGAGCAAACAGGAUUAGAUACCCUGGUAGUCCACGCCCUAAACGAUGUCUACUAGUUGUCGGGUCUUAAUUGACUUGGUAACGCAGCUAACGCGUGAAGUAGACCGCCUGGGGAGUACGGUCGCAAGAUUAAAACUCAAAGGAA
rnacentral:rRNA from 1 species